GACGAACGCUGGCGGCGUGCCUAAUACAUGCAAGUCGAGCGAGCUUGCCUAGAUGAUUUUAGUGCUUGCACUAAAUGAAACUAGAUACAAGCGAGCGGCGGACGGGUGAGUAACACGUGGGUAACCUGCCCAAGAGACUGGGAUAACACCUGGAAACAGAUGCUAAUACCGGAUAACAACACUAGACGUAUGUCUAGAGUUUGAAAGAUGGUUCUGCUAUCACUCUUGGAUGGACCUGCGGUGCAUUAGCUAGUUGGUAAGGUAAAGGCUCACCAAGUCGACGAUCGGGUAGCCGGGACUGAGAGGGUUGAACGGCCACAUUGGGACUGAGACACGGGCCCAGACUCCUACGGGAGGCAGCAGUGGGGGAUAUUGCACAAUGGGCGAAAGCCUGAUGCAGCAACGCCGC
rnacentral:rRNA from 1 species